CCCGAUUUCGAUCAGUGGUAGUUACAUCAAUUUCUCCUUCAACCAUUUGAACCACAAUUUUGUUUUCCCGCUUGCCAGACCAGAAACACAAGGAAAUAUUAUGUUCACAAUAGCACGUGAUCUGGAAAUUUUUACGAACCGAUUCUUCGGUCUUUGUAACAAACACACGUGCUUUCUGCAGGACACUUCUGCAUUUGUCGCACCUUUGUGGGCAAUAACCAACGUACUUAUCUAUAUCUUGAUCGGUUACUGCUGGACUACAUUCGAUUUCUUUACUUUCACGUAUCUAGUAACACAAUAGUCAAAAUUUUGUUCAAUAAACCUUCGGAUUGAUAGGGAUUCGUCGCUCGAAACGUCGAAGUUCUACUUGUAUUUUUCACGUAGUUGCAUCCGGCUAUAUCAAUCCGAAACUUUCUUAUUAUUAUUCUAUGAAUUAACCUUUCUCAAAAACUCCCCCUGUCUAGAUACGUUUUAGCCUGAUCGGUCCACAAAUUGUGUCGCUGGUGUAGUUAUGAAGGAGAACAAG